rnacentral:sRNA from 1 species
UGGACUUCAGCAAUGCCAUGGUCAGAGUC